CCUGAGAAACCCAAAAGAUCGAAUGGGGAGAUUCAUCGUCAGCGUGGCUGGCUUCCGUGCGGUUCGCGAUGGCCGGGAUCUCGGUCCCGCGUCACGCGUCCGCCGCGGUAUGUCUGGCCGCGUCGGCGUGCACUUCUCCCCUAGUAGGACGUCGCGACCCGUUGGGUGUCGGACCGAUGGCCGUUUGGUCGACUGUCUCGUCGCGUUCACGCGUGCACGCGGCAGACCGAAAUGGUCGAGCGUCCGGCUGCCCGGCGGUAUAGAACGCUAUUGAACGGUAACGAGCCGCACUAAGUGCGUUCAGGCUCGUCGGCAGGCUCGUCUCGCCCGGAUUUACGGACCUAGCGCCGUUGCCGGGUGCUUGGCGUGGCUGUUAGUCGACGAUGUCCUCGGACUGGCUCGAAAAUUCGAAAGGAUUACCGGUCGGCGACGCUACUGCUUUGGGUACUUUC
rnacentral:rRNA from 1 species